rnacentral:rRNA from 1 species
UACGUAGGGGGCAAGCGUUAUCCGGAAUUACUGGGUGUAAAGGGAGCGUAGGCGGCACGCCAAGCCAGAUGUGAAAGCCCGAGGCUUAACCUCGUGGAUUGCAUUUGGAACUGGAGAGCUAGAGUACAGGAGAGGAAAGCGGAAUUCCUAGUGUAGCGGUGAAAUGCGUAGAUAUUAGGAAGAACACCAGUGGCGAAGGCGGCUUUCUGGACUGAAACUGACGCUGAGGCUCGAAAGCGUGGGGAGCAAACAGG